GACGAACGCUGGCGGCGUGCUUAACACAUGCAAGUCGAACGGAAAGGCCCUGCUUUUGUGGGGUGCUCGAGUGGCGAACGGGUGAGUAACACGUGAGUAACCUGCCCUUGACUUUGGGAUAACUUCAGGAAACUGGGGCUAAUACCGGAUAGGAGCUCCUGCUGCAUGGUGGGGGUUGGAAAGUUUCGGCGGUUGGGGAUGGACUCGCGGCUUAUCAGCUUGUUGGUGGGGUAGUGGCUUACCAAGGCUUUGACGGGUAGCCGGCCUGCGAGGGUGACCGGCCACACUGGGACUGAGAUACGGCCCAGACUCCUACGGGAGGCAGCAGUGGGGAAUAUUGCACAAUGGGCGGAAGCCUGAUGCAGCAACGCCGCGUGCGGGAUGACGGCCUUCGGGUUGUAAACCGCUUUCGCCUGUGACGAAGCGUGAGUGACGGUAAUGGGUAAAGAAGCACCGGCUCACUACGUG
rnacentral:rRNA from 1 species